rnacentral:lncRNA from 1 species
UAUUACAUCAUCAACAUCAAAUUAAUUUUAUUUAUUUAUUUUUUAAAAAAUAUAAUAAAAAUAUAUUUUUAUAGCAACGAUGGGAUAAAUAAAUAAAUUAUUCGAUUGAUUGAGGAACGUCAUAUUAACAGUAUAACCGGUGCAUUCUAGCAUUGUUUCCGAUGAAGGAAAAAUUCUAGAAUACAACGAGUAAAUUGGUGACGUACUGACGUGGCGUAACAAAUCAAUCAAAUAUCUCCUUUUAGAAAUAUAUGUCUCAUCUAAAAAAAUAUUUUUAUUGUACUUUUAUUUUUAAAAAAAAGAAUGUGAUUGGCUUGUUAUUGAUGAUGUGGUGCAAGUAUGAUAGUGUAGAAUUCCUUCCGAUGAAGAGCCUGUGCGGGAAAAAAAAAAUCUAGAAUGCACCAUAUGUAUUGGUGACGUGGCGUUUUCAAUCAAUAGAGUUCUCCCGCUUGGAUUGAUACGUCCCAUCAUAAUUAAUAAAAAAAUUAUUUUUAUUGUACUUUUUUUUAAAUAGAGAGAUAUGAUUGAUUUAUUACUGAUGGCGUGGUGUAAGUGUGAUCCAAUAGACUUCCUCCCGUGCGGCAUGUGUGCGUUAAUUCCAUGUCCUGCUGCUAUCUCUUAUGUAUUACUAUUAUAUAAUAAUAAAGGAAAAAACUUCAAAUACCCUCCCUAUAGUUUCGCACUUUUUUAUUUCAGUACCCUAUUGUUUAAAGUGUUUCAAUUUAGUAAUUUUUCUAUUUUUAUAAUCCUCUUUACUAAUCUUUUUAGUAAGUCAGUGACAAAGUUAAAACUAAAAUAUAUUAAAGUGAAUAUUCGAUACGCGUAGAUGGAGUAUUUAAAGUUUUUUAUAUAUAAUUUAACAAAAUGUAAACGUAGGAGCUGACGGAAAAAAAAAAAAAAAAAUCACUAGCUACUAAAUUAUUAAUAAUAUAUUUUAAAUCAGAGGGCACUAAACUAAGAAAGUUAGAAACAAUAUAAAUGAUAUUUGAAAUUUACCCUAAUAAAAAAGAGUAUUAUAAUAU